rnacentral:lncRNA from 1 species
UAGUGAGGAUCGCGGCAAGAGCGUAGCGCCCUAGUGAUAUUAGUAGAGGUUUACUUUCCUUUAUGCAUUAGCUACACCCUGUACCUAUUUUGAAAGUAGAUGAUGUAUAGGGUGAGGAUUUUAAAGUGAUUGUACAUAUACUCUGGAAGAAUGUAAAAGAUGAAAUAAUUGUAUAAAGUUUAAUGAGUUAAUAGUUAAGUAUAUCUAUCUUUAUCACUUGUAUGCUUUACAUAUGUUGCUUGCUCUUGAUUGAUAGGCACUGUUUGUGCUCUCGUGGUUGUUGUAUGAUUGUGUAUGUAUUCAAGUUGUUUUCCUGGGAACUUGUUGUACACAAUCUAGCCGUUGGAGCCUUUGUCACGACCCAAGCUCCGCCAAUUUGGUCGGAUUCGAGCACGCGACAGACGCCGAACAGACAGUACCUCCCCUGUCCGCCCAAGGCUCCAACAACAAGUAUAAUGCAAGCAAAACCUCAAGGAGAAUUGCGAGAUAUACAAGGUUUGCACGAGAGAAAACAACAACUACAGUGAAAGCAUCGAAACUAAUUAAACAUCCAAUAUACAUGUCAUUUGAUUACAUUUGAAUCAAACACAAGUAGUUCAACACAUUUACAUUCAUUACAUUAUUUCUUGCAUUACCCAAAAUAAAAUUUACAUUACAUUGCUUUUACCUUACAAUUUCAACAUAGAAAAGUUGAAUACAUCAAGAGUAUGGUAUGCCUAUGUAACUCCGGGGUCGCUAUCUACGGCGCAACUCCCUUGCCUCGAUCCUCCGCCGCCCCGCUCGCGUACAGAUCUGCAGGGUUAGUGGUAAUGAGAACUAGAACGAAGUUCCCAGUGGGUUCGGCCACCGACCACGCCGAUUCGCCCACUAGGUCUAUUCAGGCAUAUGUAUUUCAAUAAAGAAGAAUAACAAACCAACUAAUGUACUUCUAAUACAAUGCCUGUAAGAAACAAUUCAUAGAUAGAUAUUCAUAUUCAAAUACAUGAUUACUAUGCAUGCAUGUCCUUUUUCACUUUCCUUUGGCCUUUACCCAAUUCAACCUGGGGUGCUCCUGGUUUACCCCAACUCACAGUCCACAUAUCCAUCUAAUGGGGGAGGCACAAGGCACUACCACCCGAAGGAUCUUCGCCGGGUACGUCCACCCGUGGUGCAUUUCUUCUCCGGAGUACACCGCUCGUGGAGGAGCGACCUCACACAAGCCGGAACCAAUACAUGUGAGUAUGAUCCCAUCCUCAAAUUUUGAGGAGGUAUGGCCAACCUGUCACAAUUCUCACUGUCUCAAUGUCGCUGAAUGGUUAUUACCUAUUCAUGCACAUACUGUCACUUGCCAAUGUCACGGUGGUCCUGAUGCCACAACACACAAUGUCACUUGGGUUAAACCUUGUUUAACUAUUCACUUAUCGAUGUCAAUCAAGUCACUAAUGUCCAUGUUGCCUUUGUUUACUACGGUCACGGUCAUUUCUUACAUUCACAUGCAUAUAGGGUCUUUCACUAUCUUUGUUCACAUGGAUCUAUAUCAUUACAAUAAUCUUACGCAGAUAAUUGUCACAACCAAUAUAUACUAUUCAUUACCCUACAUGCAAGAAUGCUAUAUAUCAACAUGCUCAAAAAGGGACAUAGACAUAGAAAGAGAUCCGGUAUUUCCGGAUAGCACCCCCCACCUUUAUGUGUCACAAGGAUACCACGGUUCCGAUUCCACGAUUUUUAGACUUGUUCGCCGCGAGCAACGACGAUCUGUACUAUUUCUGCUUCUUUUUCCAAUAUCUUCACGCACGCUCGUCGUAUCGCCGAACCGAGUGCACCAAUGCAUUUGUAGACCUACCAAUUAGGUUAAAAUGAAAUCAAAACCAAGUUUGAACUUCAAAAUCACAAAACCCUAAAUAUGGGUCCUUCACAACAUCACCUUCUCCAAUCAAGCCCCUAGCUUGACAAAACAUGGAGGAAAAGCCACCAUAGACCUCUCUAGAUGCUUCAACUAGAAGCAAAAAAUCCAAACCUAGCUCAAACUCAUAAGAACUCACCUUUGGAGUCCAAAGCUUCCCUUCAAAAGCCUUCCCUAGCUUGCUCUUCACCUUGGAGAGCUUCUUCUCCAAGCUUUUCUCCUCCAAACCCUCCUUGGUCCAAGCCCUAGAGAGAGAGGGAGAGAGAGAGGAGAGGUUUUUAGAGAGAGAGAGGGAAAGGUUUAUGUUGAGGUGUGAGGAAAUGAGAGCUAACCCUAACCCUUAGCUCUAUACAACCAUCUAAUUCAACAUUUGCACUUAAACCCCUCUCAAUUUCAUAUUUGCAAACAGCCCUCACUGGGCACUUUCGGGCUCGGGGACCGGUCUCUCCCCUUCAGGGACCGGUUCCCGAGAGCUGUCCUGCAACCUGCGCAGAAGGGGACCGUUCUCUCCCCGAUGAAACCGGUCUCGGGGGACCGGUCUCUCACCUAGGGACCGGUUCCCGAGAGCUCAGUUUCCAGGACUUAGCCGAUUUUUUCCUCUACUCGGUUUACCAACAUUCGGGAACCGGUCUCUCACCGAAGGGACCGGUCCCCUAGAGUAAAAUUCUGGAAAUUUUCCAGAAUUGCAGUUUCACUCUCUCGGAUCCCUUUAUACUUUAUAUAUAGGCUCCAAUUCACUUUUAGCCUAUAGUAACUCAUUCCUUUCUGCGCUCCGCUCGUUUUGACGGGACUCGACUCAACCUACGGGGUAGUGAUACGUUACAUUCCCCACCCCUUAAAAUUAUUUCGGCCGCGAAACUAAUUCACUCGUAAUUCAACAUCCAUACCUCAUCUUAGUUCCUCGAAGAGAUGAGGAUGACGUUCCUUCAUCACGUCCUCAAGCUCCCACGUUUCUUCUCUAUCGCCGUGUUCGCUCCAAUGGAUCUUAACAUACGAAAUUUCUCGAUUCCGUAGCUUUCGCACCUCCCGAUCAACAAUGUACGCCGGGAACUCCUCGUAGGCCAUGUCCUCUUGAAGUUCUGUCGGUAUAUACGAGAGAACAUGCUCCGGAUCGUGAACAUACUUGGGGAGAUUAGACACAUGGAACACAUCGUGCACCCCCGCAAGCCUCGGCGGUAAUGCUACUCUGUAGGCCACCGCGCCAACUCUUUCUAAGAUCUCGAAGGGUUCGACAAAUCGGGGACUUAACUUUCCCCGGACACCAAACCUCUUAACACCGCGCAUCGGCGAUACCUUCAGAAACACGCAGUCUCCAACCGCGAACUCGAUGUCCUUCCUUCGCUUAUCGGCAUAGCUCUUGUGCCUUGAUUGCGCCGUCACUAACCUUUGCCGGGCAAGACGAACUUUCUCCUAUGCCUCCCGAACAACUUCUGGGCCAAGAACAACUUUCUCGCCCACCUCGCUCUAAUGAAUUGGCUAGCGACACUUCCUUCCAUAUAGAGCUUCGAAUGGCGCCAUUGCAAUACUUUCUUGAUAGCUAUUGUUGUAUGCAAAUUCCGCCAUCGAUAAGUAAUCGUGCCACUCUCCACGAUAGUCAAGCACACAUGCUUGCAACAUGUCCUCGAGUAUCUGAAUGGUCCUCUUAGAUUGUCCAUCACUCUGAGGAUGAAACGCCGUGCUAAAAUCGAGCCGCGUGCCUAGAGUAUCUUGCAAGCUCCUCCAGAAAUGAGAAGUGAACCGAGGAUCUCGAUCUAAUACGAUCGACAUGGGAACCCCAUGUAGUCUCACUAUCUCGUCCAAGUGAACCUGGGCCAACUUAUCUCCUGACCACGUGGUGUGGAUCGGCAAAAAAGUGAGCCGAUUUCGUCAAAAGGUCCACAACCACCCAUAUGGCGUCAUGUCCAGCCUGCGAUCGGGGCAGCCCGACCACAAAGUCCAUCGCGACAUUCUCCCACUUCCACACGGGGAUCGGUAAGCUUUGCAGCUUCCCCGUGGAAAAACGACACUCGACUUUUACUUGUUGGCACGUCAAACAUUGCGCCACGAAUUCUCCGAUGUCCUUCUUCAUACCCGGCCACCAAUAAUGCAACUUUAAAUCCUUGUACAUCUUAGUGCCGCCCGGGUGAAUACUAUACGAGGAAUGAUGCGCCUCUUGCAACACCAUCUUACGAAUCUCAUCGUCCUUGGGUACGCACAAUCAGUUCCUGAAUCUAAGUGCACCAUCGGCUCCCACGCCGAAAUCACCGGCGCGCCCAUCACUAACAUCGUUCCACACCUUUUGGAGAUACGGAUCAUCAACUUACCGCUCCUUGAUUUGCUCCAACAAGGUCGGUCGAACUAUUAGUGCCGCCAAGAUAGUCGGAACUUCCGGCGCCACUACCUCCAAUCCAAACCACUGCAUUUCCUUAUGUAAUGCCGGCUGAUUUGUAAUCGUCGUCGCCAAGUUCUCAGCAAAUUUCCUACUCAGCGCAUCGGCCACCACGUUGGCUUUACCGGGGUGGUAUAGGAUAGUAAGAUCAUAAUCCUUUAUCAAUUCCAGCCAACGCCGCUGCCACAUAUUCAACUCUUUCUGGGUGAACAAAUACUUGAGGCUUUUGUGAUCGGUAUAUACCUCACAAUGCUCACCAUAUAGAUAAUGCCUCCAAAGCAUCAGCGCGAAAAUGACCGCCGCAAGCUCAAGAUCGUGGGUCGGGUAGUUCUUCUCGUAGCCUUUCAACUAGCGCGAAACAUACGCAAUGACUCGCCCAUUUUGCAUAAGAACACACCCAAGAUCGGUGUAAGAAGCAUCACUAUACACCAUGAAGCUCUCUCCCGGCGUUGGCAAAGCAAGUACCGGAGUAGACGUCAACUUCUUCUUCAACUCUUGGAAGCUUCGGUCGCAACCUUCGCUCCAAUCAAACCUUACUCCUUUGUUCGUAAGGUGUGUGGGAGGAGUGGUCAACUUCGCAAACCCCUCAACAAAACGCCUAUAAUAGCCCGCCAAUCCAAGAAAACUGCGGACUUCCGCCACGCUCGUAGGAUGGGGCCAAUCUCGAAUCGCCUCAAUCUUCCUCGGGUCCACCGAGAUCCCGCUCCCGAAUAUCACAUGACCUAAAAAGGUCACCUCCGGAAGCCAGAAUUUGCAUUUCUUGAGUUUAGCAUAAAGCUUCUCAUCUCGGAGUAUUUGCAACACGGUCCUUAGAUGUUCCUCGUGCUCUUCUUCACUCCGCGAAUACACCAACACGUCGUCGAUAAACACCACGACGCACUUAUCCAACAAUGGUCGAAAGACCCUAUUCAUCAAGUCCAUAAACGCUGUCGGGGCAUUGGUAAGCCCAAACGGCAUCACCGUAAACUCAUAAUGGCCAUACCGCGUACGGUACGCCGUUUUAUGCAGGUCUUUCGGUCGGAUUUUCAACUGAUGAUAUCCCGACUGAAGAUCUAUCUUCGAGUAUACCCGCAACCCCUGCAACUGAUCGAACAGGUCAUCUAUUCUUGGUAACGGGUACUUGUUCUUGAUUGUCACCUUGUUCAACUCGCGAUAAUCAACGCAGAGUCGAAGGGUGCCGUCCUUCUUCUUCACAAACAAUACUGGUGCUCCCCAGGGGGACACACUUGGCUUCACGAAACCUUUAUAAAGUAGGUCCUGCAACUGGGCCUUUAACUCUUUAAGCUCCACCGGUGCCAUUCUAUACGGAGCCUUUGAAACUGGCGCCGCACCGGAAAUCAAGUCAAUGUCGAACUCGACUUCCCGAUUUGGUGGUAGUCCCGGUAACUCUACAGGAAAUACGUCCGGGUAUUCACACACUACCCGAAUGUUCCCCAACUCCGGGCGCUCUUUUUGAGGGUCCACGAUGGUCGCCAAGUAAGCCUUGCAACCACCCUUGAUCAUCCUUUUCGCCCUCACCGUCGAUAUAGUCACCGCAAAACGCACGCCCUUACACGCUCGAUACUCAAACUCGUCUUGACCAGGCUCGCGAAAAGUGAUCACUCUACUGUCACAAUCGAUGCUGGCAUAGUACUUGGAGAGCCAAUUAACUCCCAAGAUAACAUCAAUGCCCCACAUCUGCUUAAGUACUAGCAAAUCCACCGGCAUAAUCCAGUCGCCGAUUUGAACCGGACAUGCUAGGCACUCGUCGUGGACUCUAAACGAGUGUUCCGGUGCGUUAACCCACCAAUAGUCAUAACUAUGUUCUAUGUCCAUGCCAUGUGUCUUAGCAAACGAGACAUCAAUGAAUGAAUGCGAUGCGCCCGUGUCAAAUAGCGCUCUUGCUCUAACACCAUUAAUCAAAAUAAUACCUGCCAUGACGUCGUCAGGUACGGCAGGCUGCUCCUCCACCUGAGUAGCGAAAACCCGUCCACUCCGUGCACGUGAUCCCUCCGGCUCUCGCGGUGAUGAAGCGCACCCAGCCGACAUGGCAGGUGGCAGUCCUGCGAGCUGUCGUGGAGCAUACUGAGCCGAAGCAGCUGACGAAGCCGGUGACGCGCCGCCCGGGCAAUCCCAUCUCAUGUGCCCCGCUUGGCCGCAUCGGAAACAUCUCCCGUCACGCUGAGGACAUUCACUCGGCCUAUGAUUCCCACCGCAAAUUACGCAUGGGUAGGAACUCAUCUGACUCCUUGUCUGGCUCCUAUCUCGCCGCCACUGCGAUCUAGGGUGCCGAGGGGGUCGCUUGGAACUCGACUGCCCCGCGGAACCACCAUCCGAUCACUUCUUAGACUUCUCCCUGUCCUUGUCCCUUUCAAACGCCUCGCGUUCCUCACGCGCAAUGGCGUUACCGCGCUCUAUCCAUAGCGCACGAUCAAGCACCUCUUCAUAGGUCUUCAGCCGAAGCGCCUGAACCAUCUUGAAUAUCUCCGGCCGCAACCCGCGCUCGAAGACCUCCGCCGGAUCUCGGUCACUAUGAACCAAGCCGGGAACGCAGUUAACCAUGUGCGAGAAUUCCCUUUCAUAUUCCCGCACCGUUUGGCUUCCCUGCCUCAACUUGCAAAAGUCCUCCUUGAUCUUCCGUUUGUCACUUUCCGGAAAGUACUCCAUUAGCAGAAUCUCCCGGAACGCCUCCCAAGUCAUAGUAGCCGGAUCCAAGGACCGACCACCCUUCACUCUCGUCCACCACGAUCGAGCCGGCCCCUCUAAACAGUGAGCCGCCAACCGAACCUUGUCCUUCUCGAGGGUGUAGAUGUCCUCGAAUAACGCCUCCAUCGUAGAAAGCCACGCCUCCAUCAACCAUGGGUCUUUCACAUCACCCACAAAGGUCGGAGGAUUAAACCGUUUGAAGGCCGUCAACACCGCCAACGACCGCUCCCGCUCGGCUUCAAGUACCUCCGGAAUAGGAGCCGAAGAACCUAAAGCUGUCGGAGGAAUAGCCGUCACCGGUGCCGCCGCCAUCGGCGCAGGUGAUAUAGGUGCAGGCGGGUCCUGAGGUACAGGUGCAGCCGCCGCCGCCUGUCGAGCCACCAACUCAUGGAGCUGUCCCAUUUGCUCCCCUUGCUGUCGCAUAGCCCCAGCCAAAGCUGCUACUUGGGCCCGCAACUCGCGAACUUCAUUAGAUCCAACCUGCUCUGGCACCUCAUCAGGCAAUGCCGGAGCGGUCCGUCGGGUAUAGCGUCUCGGUGACAUCUGUCCUGAAACGAAAUGCACACGUUAAUACUCGACAUUCAAGACUCUUACUCGUUUCCAAACAUCUACCCAAUCAAGCGAAAGCAAUCAAGUACGUUCACUUUCUACUCUCGGCAUUAUGUAGUCCUCCGCCCCACAUAAUACCUUGAAAGAAAACAACCGUCCCUUAAGUCCAUCUCUAUUUCCGUUUAGAGAAGUUCCAUAAGAACCCAAUCCAUUAGCCUUCGCAUAUCCAAGUCCACGUUAUACGUGUCUUAAUUCCUAAGGUCUCCGAUCCUAAGGUCCCUAAGUCCAUCCUAGACUUUUGCUUUCACAUUGCUCUGAUACCACCCUAUCUGUCACGCCCCAAGCUCCGCCAAUUUUGUCGGAUUCGAGCACGCAACAGACGCCGAACGGACAGUACCUCCCAUGUCCGCCCAAGGCUCCAACAACAAGUAUAAUGCAAGCAAAACCUCAAGGAGAAUUGUGAGAUAUACAAGCUUUGCACGAGGGCAAACAACAACUACAGUGAAAGCAUCGAAACUAAUUAAACAUCCAAUAUACAUGUCAUUUGAUUACAUUUGAAUCAAACACAAGUAGUUUAACACAUUUACAUUCAUUACAUUAUUUCUUGCAUUACCCAAAAUAAAAUUUACAUUAUAUCGGUUUUACCUUACAAUUUCAACAUAGAAAAGUUGAAUACAUCAAGAGUAGGGGAUGCCUAUGUAACUCCGGGGUCGCUAUCUACGGCGCGACUCCCUUGCCUCAAUCCUCUGCUGCCCCGCUCGUGUACGGAUCUGCAGGGUUAGUGGUAAUGAGAACUAGAACGAAGUUCCCAGUGGGUUCGGCCGCCGACCACGUCGAUUUGCCCACUAGGUCUAAUUCAGGCAUAUGUAUUUCAAUAAAGAAGAAUAACAAACCAACUAAUGUACUUCUAAUACAAUGCCUGCAAGAAACAAUUCAUAGAUAGAUAUUCAUAUUCAAAUACAUGAUUACUAUGCAUGCAUGUCCUUUUUCACUUUCCUUUGGCCGUUACCCAAUUCAACCUGGGGUGCUCCUGGUUUACCCCAAUUCACAGUCCACAUAUCCAUCUAACGGGGGAGGCAUAAGGCACUACCACCCGAAGGAUCUUCGCCGGGUAUGUCCACCCGUGGUGCAUUUCUUCUCCGAAAUACACCGCUCGUGGAGGAGAGACCUCACACAAGCCUGAACCAAUACAUGUGAGUAUGAUCCCAUCCUCAAAUUUUGAGGAGGUAUGGCUAACCUGUCACAAUUCUCACUGUCUCAAUGCCGCUGAAUGGUUAUUACCUAUUCAUGCACAUACUGUCACUUGCCAAUGUCACGGUGGUCCUGAUCCCACAACACAUAAUGUCACUUGGGUUAAACCUUGUUUAACUAUUCACUUAACGAUGUCAAUCAAGUCACUAAUGUCCAUGUUGCCUUUGUUUACUACGCUCACGGUCAUUUCUUACAUUCACAUGCAUAUAGGGUCUUUCACUAUCUUUCUUCACAUGGAUCUAUAUCAUUACAAUAAUCUUACGCAGAUAAUUGUCACAACCAACAUAUACUAUUCAUUACCCUACAUGCAAGAAUGCUAUAUAUCAACAUGCUCAAAAAGGGACAUAGACAUAGAAAGAGAUCUGGUGUUUUCGUAUAGCACCCCCCACCUUUAUGUGUCACAAAGAUGCCACGGUUCCGAUUCCACGAUUUUUAGACUUGUUCGCCGCGAGCAACGACGAUCUGUACUAUUUCUGCUUCUUUUUCCAAUAUCUUCGCGCACGCUCGUCGUAUCGCCGAACCGAGCGCACCGAUGCGUUUGUAGACCUACCAAUUAGGUUAAAAUGAGAUCACAACCAAGUUUGAAUCUCAAAAUCACAAAACCCUAAAUAUGGGUCCUUCACAACAUCACCUUCUCCAAUCAAGCCCCUAGCUUGACAAAACAUGGAGGAAAAGCCACCAUAGACCUCUCUAGAUGCUUCAACUAGAAGCAAAAAACCCAAACCUAGCUCAAACUCAUAAGAACUCACCUUUGGAGUCCAAAGCUUCCCUUUAAAAGCCUUCCCUAGCUUGCUCUUCACCUUGGAGAGCUUCUUCUCCAAGCUUUUCUCCUCCAAACCCUCCUUGGUCCAAGCCCUAGAGAGAGAGGGAGAGAGAGAGGAGAGGUUUUUAGAGAGAGAGAGGAAAAUGUUUAUGUUGAGGUGUGAGUAAAUGAGAGCUAACCCUAACCCUUAGCUCUAUACAACCAUCUCAUGCAACAUUUGCACUUAAACCCCUCUCAAUUUCAUAUUCGCAAACAGCCCUCAAUGGGCACUUUCGGGCUCGGGGACCGGUCUCUCCCCUUCAGGGACCGGUUCCCGAGAGCUGUCCUGCAACCUGCGCAGAAGGGGACCGGUCUCUCCCCGAUGAAACCGGUCUCCGGGGACCGGUCUCUCACCUAGGGACCGGUUCCCGAGAGCUCAGUUUCCAGGACUUAGCCGAUUUUUCCCUCUGCUCGGUUUACCAACGUUCGGGAACCGGUAUCUCACCCAAGGGACCGGACCCCGAGAGUAAAAUUCUGGGAAUUUUCCAGAAUUGCAGUUUCACUCUCUCGGGUCCCUUUAUACUUUAUAUAUAGGCUCCAAUUCACUUUUAGCCUAUAGUAACUCAUUCCUUUCCGUGUUCCGCUCGUUUUGACGGGACUCGGCUCAACCUACGGGGUAGUGAUACGUUACAUUCCCCACCCCUUAAAAUUGUUUCGGCCGCGAAACUAAUUCAAUCGUAAUUCAACAUCCAUACCUCAUCUUAGUUCCUCGAAGAGAUGAGGAUGACGUUCCUUUAUCACGUCCUCAAGCUCCCACGUUUCUUCUCUAUCGCCGUGUUCGCUCCAAUGGAUCUUAAGAUACGGAAUUUCUCGAUUCGGUAGCUUUCGCACCUCCCGAUCAAAAAUGUACGCCGGGAACUCCUCGUAGGUCAUAUCCUCUUGAUGUUCUGUCGGUAUAUACGAGAGAACAUGCUCCGGAUCGUGAACAUACCUGGGGAGAUUAGACACAUGGAACACAUCGUGCACCCCCGCAAGCCUCGGCGGUAAUGCUACUCUGUAGGCCACCGCGCCAACUCUUUCUAAGAUCUCGAAGGGUCCGACAAAUCGGGGACUUAACUUUCCCCGGACACCAAACCUCUUAACACCGCGCAUCGGCGAUACCUUCAGAAACACGCGGUCUCCAACCGCGAACUCGAUGUCCUUCCUUCGCUUAUCGGCAUAGCUCUUGUGCCUUGAUUGCGCCGUCACUAACCUUUGCCGGGCAAGACGAACUUUCUCCUCCGCCUCCCGAACAACUUCUGGGCCAAGAACAACUUUCUCGCCUACCUCGCUCCAAUGAAUUGGCGAGCGACACUUCCUUCCAUAUAGGGCUUCGAAUGACGCCAUUGUAAUACUUUCUUGAUAGCUAUUGUUGUAUGUAAAUUCCGCCAUCGAUAAGUAAUCGUGCCACCCUCCACGAUAGUCAAGGACACAUGCUCGCAACAUGUCCUCGAGUAUCUGAAUGGUCCUCUCAGAUUGUCCAUCACUCUGAGGAUGAAACGCCGUGCUAAAAUCGAGCCGCGUGCCUAGAGCAUCCUGCAAGCUCCUCCAUAAAUGAGAAGUGAACCGAGGAUCUCGAUCUGAUACGAUCGACACGGGAACCCCAUGUAGUCUCACUAUCUCAUCCAAGUAAACCUGGGCCAACUUAUCUCCUGACCACGUGGUGUGGAUCGGCAAAAAGUGAGCCAAUUUCGUCAAACGGUCCACAACCACCCAUAUGGCGUCAUGUCCAGCCUGCGAUCGGGGCAGCCCGACCACAAAGUCCAUCGCGACAUUCUCCCACUUCCAUACGGGGAUCAGUAAGCUUUGCAGCUUCCCCGCGGGAAAACGACGCUCGGCUUUUACUUGUUGGCACGUCAAACAUUGCGCCACGAAUUCUCCGAUGUCCUUCUUCAUACCCGGCCACCAAUAAUGCAACUUUAAAUCCUUGUACAUCUUAGUGCCGCCCGGGUGAAUACUAUACGGGAAAUGAUGCGCCUCUUGCAACACCAUCUUACGAAUCUCAUCGUCCUUGGGUACGCACAAUCGGUUCCUAAACCUAAGUGCACCAUCGGCUCCCACGCCGAAAUCACCGGCGCGCCCAUCACUAACAUUGUUCCGCACCUUUUGGAGAUACGGAUCAUCAACUUGCCGCUCCUUGAUUUGCUCCAACAAGGUCGGUCGAACUAUUAGUGCCGCCAAGAUAGUCGGAACUUCCGGCGCCACUACCUCCAAUCCAAAUCGCUGCAUUUCCUUAUGUAAUGCCGGCUGAUUUGUAAUCGCCGUCGCCAAGUUCUCAGCAGAUUUCCUACUCAGCGCAUCGGCCACCACGUUGGCUUUACCGGGGUGGUACAGGAUAGUUAGAUCAUAAUCCUUUAUCAAUUCCAGCCAACGCCGCUGCCACAUAUUCAACUCUUUCUGGGUGAACAAAUACUUGAGGCUUUUGUGAUCGGUAUAUACCUCACAAUGCUCACCAUAUAGAUAAUGCCUCCAAAGCUUCAGCGCGAAAACAACCGCCGCAAGCUCAAGAUCGUGGGUCGGGUAGUUCUUCUCGUAGCCUUUCAGCUGGCGCGAAGCAUACGCAAUGACUCGCCCAUUUUGCAUAAGAACACACCGUAGACCGGUGUAGGAAGCAUCACUAUACACCACGAAGCUCUCUCCCGGCGUUGGCAAAGCAAGUACCGGAGUAGACGUCAACUUCUUCUUCAACUCUUGGAAGCUUCGGUCGCAACCUUCGCUCCAAUCAAUCCUUACUCCUUUGUGAGUAAGGCGUGUGAGAGGAGUGGUCAACUUCGCAAACCCCUCAACAAAACGCCUAUAAUAGCCCGCCAAUCCAAGAAAACUGUGGACUUCCGCCACGCUCGUAGGAUGGGGCCAAUCUCGAAUCGCCUCUAUCUUCCUUGGGUCCACCGAGAUCCCACUCCCGGAUAUCACAUGGCCUAAGAAGGUCACCUCCGAAAGCCAGAAUUCGCAUUUCUUGAGUUUAGCAUAAAGGUUCUCAUCUCGGAUUAUUUGCAACACCAUCUUACGAAUCUCAUCGUCCUUAGGUACGCACAAUCGGUUCCUGAAUCUAAGUGCACCAUCGGCUCCCACGCCGAAAUCAGCGGCGCGCCCAUCACUAACAUUGUUCCGCACCUUUUAGAGAUACGGAUCAUCAACUUGCCGCUCCUUGAUUUGCUCCAACAAGGUCGGUCGAACUAUUAGUGCCGCCAAGAUAGUCGGAACUUCCGGCGCCACUACCUCCAAUCCAAACCGCUACAUUUCCUUAUGUAAUGCCGGGAGUUCACACAUCUUCUGAACUGCGUCCCGGACGUGGCGACGACGGAGCAAGAUCCAGCAGAUUACUUCGUGAGAGGACUCCGACCCGGCGUGUUUCGUAUGGUGCAUGCCUUCAAGUUUCAUACUUUCACGGAGGCUUUGGACCGUGCCUUAUGGGUCAAGCACGGGAAUGCCUGCGAGCAUGAGGACCGUGAGGUGUUCGAGAAGGAUAAGGGGAAGAAGCGACCGGGCGGUGGUUCGGGGGGACAAUCGAGUUCCAAAAGGCCCCCGAAAUAUCCACGAUCACAACCGAAGGGCCGCGGAGCGCAACGGUGUAUCUUUUGCGGCGGUGACCACCGACCCAGUAUCUGUGAUCAGCGCCGAGGAAAGUGCUUUAGAUGCAGGCAAGCAGGGCACAUCACACGCGACUGCCCUCAAGGAGGGGCUUUAUCUGCUCUAUCUGUUGCAUCAGCCCCGACAAUUUCGGCUCGUUAUGCAAUGCCACCUGCUGCGGCGUCGGCUGGACGUGCGGCGGCACCACGUCAACCUGAACCAGCACGAUCGUCUCCGAGCGGAAGGAUGUAUGCCACUCAAGUGCAAGAAGAGGAGCCCACCGAAGCCGAGGAGCGCAAUGUGGUAGCAGGUAUGGUGUUGGUUCAUGGUGUUCGAGCAAGAGCUCUUUUUGAUACUGGCGCCUCUCACUCGUUCAUUAACCGGUCGUUUGCACAAGUACAUGACAUUGAGAUUAGUCUCGGGGAGAAUGUGUGGCGUGUAGAAGGACCCGGACGAUCAUUCCUUGUUAGGAAGCGCUGUUUGGCAUGCCCAAUACAAGUAGGCGACUGGAUUAUGCCGGUCGACCUGUUGGUGCUAAAGAGGUUGAAAGAGUUCGACGUUAUAUUGGGCAUGGACUGGCUCUCGAAGUAUUAUGUGUCUAUUGACUGUAAGACUAGAGUGAUCACAUUUCGGGAGCCGGGACACGAGGAGUUCACGUAUCGAGUUUGCAAGAGUUCGUGCUUCACCGCGACGGUGUCGGCGACAAGAGCGAGGAAGCUAGUUAAUAGCGGUUGUACGGCUUACUUGGCGACCGUUAUGGAAGUUGACCGAGUGGUGCCGGCUCUAGAAGAGUUAGAGGUUGUGCGAGAGUUUCCGGACGUGUUUCCUACGGAGUUACCGGGGAUGCCGCCGGACCGGGAAAUUGAGUUUAUGAUAGACUUGCUUCCCGGGACCGCGCCGAUAUCCAAGGCCCCGUAUUGCAUGGCGCCGGCUGAGUUAAGGGAGUUGAGGGAUCAGUUGCAGGACCUCCUCGACAAGGAGUUCAUUAGGCCGAGCAUGUCACCGUGGGGAGCCCCAGUAUUGUUUGUGCACAAGAAGGAUGGAUCUUUUCGACUUUGCGUGGAUUACCGCGAGUUGAAUAAGGUCACUGUGAAGAACAAGUACCCGUUACCCCGUUACCCCGCAUCGACGACUUGUUUGAUCAAUUAUAGGGGUCGCGAGUGUACUCGAAGAUUGACCUCCAAUCCGGCUACCAUCAAUUGAAGAUUAAGUCGGAGGAUGUUCCGAAGACCGCGUUCUGCACGCGGUAUGGACACUACGAGUUCACCGUGAUGCCGUUUGGGCUUACAAAUGCCCCGGCCGCGUUCAUGAGCUUGAUGAACCGAGUGUUCAGGCAGUGCUUAGACCGAUUUGUCGUAGUUUUUAUAGACGACAUCUUGGUCUAUUCGCGCGAUGAAGAGGAGCACGCAGAGCAUUUGCGCACCGUACUUCAAAUCCUUCGGGAGAAGAAGUUGUACGCAAAGUUGAAGAAGUGUGACUUCUGGCUCCGGGAAGUUACUUUUCUCGGGCAUGUUGUUUCCGAGGGCGGUGUUUCUGUUGACCCGAGAAAAAUAGAGGCUAUUGAGAAUUGGCCGCGCCCGACGAAUGUCGCUGAGGUCCGAAGUUUUGUGGGCCUAGCACGUUAUUACCGACGGUUUGUGGAGGGCUUCUCGAAGAUCGUGACUCCACUCACCCGUCUGACGCAGAAGGGCGAAGAUCGUGACUCCACUCACCCGUCUGACGCAGAAGGGCACCCGAUUUAUUUGGAGCGACGAGUAUGACCGGAGUUUUAAAGAGUUGAAGGAGAGGUUAACUUCAACUCCGGUACUCGCCUUACCGGUGCAGGGUGACGAUUAUGUAGUGUAUAGCGACGCAUCCUAUCUGGGUCUGGGGUGUGUACUGAUGCAAGGCGGGAGGGUCAUUGCUUAUGCAUCCCGUCAGUUGAAAAGCUACGAGAAGAACUACCCCAUACAUGAUUUGGAAUUGGCGGCGGUGGUCUUUGCUCUGAAGCUUUGGAGACACUAUCUGUAUGGUGCUCAUUGCGAGAUCUACACCGACCAUAAGAGUUUGAAAUACUUGUUUACCCAGAAGGAGCUGAACAUGCGGCAACGGCGGUGGUUAGAAUUGCUUAAGGAUUGCGAUGUUGAUAUCCUUUACCACCCCGGGAAAGCGAAUGUAGUCGCAGACGCGCAUAGUCGGAAGUCGGCGGAGAACCUCGCUUUAUGGGUUACAAGCCAGACGCCCCCGCAGUUGCAAAUGGGGAAGAUGGAUCUCGAGGUGGUGGCUCCGAAAAUUUCGGCUAGGUUGACGACGUUGGUGGUCCAACCGACCUUAUUGGAGAGGAUCAAGAAUCUACAGUCGGCGGACCCGAAGCUCCAGAAGGUGCGGCACCAUGUUGAAAGUGGCCGUGGCGGAGAUUUCAGCAUGGAUGCAAGUGGUGCAGUACGGUUUCGAAACCGGUGGUGUGUGCCAAAUGACGAGGAGCUUCGCAAGUUGAUUUUGCAAGAAGCGCAUUGGUCACCUUAUGUCGACCACCCGGGCGGCACCAAGAUGUUUCACGAGCUGAAGACACUAUAUUGGUGGCCGGGAAUGAAGACUGAUAUUGGGCGCUUCGUGGCGAAGUGUUUAGUAUGCUAACAAGUGAAGGCGGAGCGUCGAUUUCCAGCGGGGAAAUUUCAGAGUUUAUCUAUUCCCGUCUGAAAAUAGGAUGACAUAUCGAUGGACUUCAUCGUUGGCUUACCUCGUUCGACAGGUGGCCACGACGCAAUUUGGGUGAUUGUGGAUUGUUUGACGAAAUCAGCGCACUUUCUGCCGAUCCACAACACUUGGGCAGGUGAGAAGCUAGCGCAGGUGUAUCUUGAUGAGAUUGUGAGGCUACAUGGGGUGCCGAAGUCGAUUGUAUCAGAUCGAGACCCCAAGUUCACUUCACACUUUUGGAGAAGCCUGCAGGAAGCCCUUGGCACGCGACUCGAGUUCAGUACCGCCUUUCAUCCUUAGACUGAUGGACAGACAGAGAGAACCAUUCAGACCCUGGAGGAUAUAUUGCGGGCGUGUGCCAUUGAUUACAAGGGGAAUUGGUGUAACACCUGCCGAUGGCCGAAUUCGCCUACAACAACAGCUGUCACGCGAGUGUGGGGAUGGCACCAUUCGAGGCUCUUUAUGGGCGGAAGUGCCGAUCUCCCAUUCAUUGAAGUGAUGUGGGCGAGCGGGCAGAGUUCGGUCCAGACGUGUUGCGAGAAGCGGAGGAGAAAGUCCACCUUGCUCGCAAGAGAUUGCUUACGGCGCAAUCUCGACAGAAGAGUUAUUCGGAUAAGCGCCGUAGAGACUUAGAAUUCGCGGUGGGUGACCGCGUGUUCUUGAAAGUUUCGCUGAUGAGAGGCGUGAAAAGGUUUGGGGUGCGAGGAAAGUUGAGUCAUCGUUAUGUUGGCCCUUAUGAGAUUUUGGAGCGGAUUGGGACGGUGGCUUACCGGCUUGCGUUGCCACCCAAGCUUGCGGGUGUGCACAAUGUAUUCCACGUCUCCAAUCUCCGCAAGUAUGUGCAUGACCCUGAGCACGUCUUGGUCUACGAGCCACCGGAAUUACAGGAAGAUAUGAGUUACGAAGAGUUUCAGGUGGAGAUCCUAGCUCGAGAAGUACGCAAGUUGAGAAGUCGCGAAAUUCCUUAUGUUCGAGUCCGGUGGAGCAAUCAUGGCGAUCGCGAAGCCACCUGGGAGCUCGAGGAGGAGAUGAAAGCGAAUCAUCCUCACUUAUUUGAAGGUUGAGCUGAGGUAUGGAUCUAGAGUUUAAAUUCUGGAUGAAUUUAGUAUCGUUGAGUUCGUUUUGAGGACGAAACUCUUUUAAGGUGGGGAGAAUGUAAGGAAAGUGAAUUCUCGAAAUCCGGGGAUUAGACUUCGUUGGGAAUCGACUGAUUGUCGAGUGUGUAAGCUUCGGAAAGUCCGAAGGUAGUAGUAAUGCGUAAAGUGCAUUAAGGAAAGGUCCGCGAGAGCACCAGUGCAAAAGCUGCACUGGAGCAGAAAUGCUCUCGGGGACCGGUCCCUGGCGAGGAGGGACCGGUCCCAUUGGGCUGGGCUGCGGGGGUCUUUGAUGAGACCGGUCCCUGGCAGGUAGGGACCAGUUCCCGAAUGUUAGCCCAGCGAGAAUUAGCCGAAAUUUGGCUAAGUCCCGAGAACCCAGCUCUCGAGAACCGGUCUCUCAGACAGGGACCGGUCUCCUAGGGACCUGUCUCGCAGGCAGGGACUGGUUCCCGAACGCGAAAUCCCUUCUGCCUGGUUGUGCAACUCUCGGGGACCGGUCUCCCCGACCUGGGACCGGUCCCUCACUACGAAAAUGGCCCAGGGAGGGCUGUUUCAGGAAAUAGAAAGUUGAGGGGGCUAUCUGCAAAAUAGCCUAUAUGAGGGCUUGGGGACCCCUCUCUUCCUCUUAUUUGCUCUCUCUCCCUUUCACACUCUUUCCCUCUCUCUCUCUAGAAAGGAAAAGAAGGAAAAGAAGAAGGAAAUGAAGAGAAAGGAGAAGAAAGAAGAGGAGAGGAAGAAGAAGAAGUAGGAGAAGAAGAAGACAAAGGUGGAGAUCACCUUCCUCAUCUACUUCUUCUUCUUGGACUAAGCUUUUGAAGGUAAGCUUCUAGCCCUACAAUAGUGGAUUUCUUACAAUAGGGUUUUAUUGUCACGCCCCGGGACCCGGCAUAGGCCCGUCCGGUGCGCGCCCAGACCCGCCAUAUGUCUACACAUAUAAGGCAUCUACACAAAAGCGGAAGAGUAAGGCAUGAGAAGAUCUACAACUAAAGAUAUCAGAGCAAGUAUAUAGCUAGGUUCUAACAUCAGGUAGAAUCAAAAGAAAAUCAUACUACUAAAGCAUAAGGUAAACUGAUACAUCAUAAAUCACAAGAUACAAAAAUAGGGUGGUUUCUACAAUCAGGUACAAAACUCUCACAACCUCUCCAAAAGAAAACAAAAGGGAGGUGGACCACCUAACGCCAAGACCCUCGAUAGCUAACUCGAGGCGAAACCUUUCCCGCGAUCCCGAGCCUCUCCCGGAGUGGAAGGCACUGAAGGAAAACAUAAAACAGGGGGCGUGAGAACUAUAAUUUAUAGUUCCCAGUGGGCAAUUACUGACCUGCACCAAAUCGCACCACUUGGCCCCAAACGAGCAAAUAAUGAUAAUAGAUAAUAUCAACAGUAAUUGAAGCAUGAAAUUAAAAUGCUACUCUACUAUGCCACAAGUAUUCUGAAUGUCAACAUGGAGUACAUCUACUCUACAUGAUCCAAUAUGCCCAAAACUUAAACAAUGUGUCGUGAUGCAACAAGUAAUGCUAUAAAGUGUGAUAUGUAUAUUCCAGAGCCCACUACAUAUCUAGUAUGUACUAUCCUGGCAGCAAGGUGUACUACAAUGCAAUAAGCGAUAAUGUCAAGUACACUAAAUAUCCCAAAAGUCCAACCCUAUGCCAUAGCAUGUCAAGAAAAUCCAACUACUAUAACCUAUCUAGUAGUGAUUGUCAACUUGUUGUUUAGUAUUCUGGUUCAAUCUCAUUCAGGAUCUACACGGGUGUAGUCCGGCUUGUGCCGCCUAAGUGCCAGUGGUAGCUCCAGCAUUCCCACUCUAGGAAUGAGUCUAUCCCUCCAGGCCCCGUAGGCUACUCGAUACCGCACGGGCGAACAUAAGUCGCGUAGGCUAACUCCGGAGUGCCGGCUUGUGGGGAGCGACCCUCACAAGCAUGUGCGUAUGAGCACAAAUGGCAAGCAAGCAUGGUCAAAACCUCAAUAGUCCAAUCGUCAUGUCUCCAAAAUGGAAAUGCAACUCAACAGUCAUCAUGUCUCUAACAUGGAAAUGCACACUAGCAACCUCAGUGUCUAGUCUAUGCCUCAAAUGAAGGUUUAACCGUUCGAUAAUUCCAUGUCAAUGACCUUGGCUUUACUAAGUCCAAGACUCAAGGUGAAGUUCCCACAUUCACUAUGUUUAGUGCCUCUUUAUGACACUUAAACAUUGCUAUAAUCUAAGCUCAAUUCACAUUUUAUGUCUCUUUAUGACGCUAGCUUGUUCUAUCGAUAAUAGAUUAAUACACAUGCUCUCUAGCGUGUUCUCAUAUGGUUACAUGUAAGUUCUUUCCAAUGCGACUAUUAACUUGGCAUAAUUCUCAUAAUAAUAGCAUGCACAUGCAAUUUGCAUAACCAUCAAGUCUAAUGCCGCUUUAUGACAUUAGCUUGCUAAACUCAUAUCUAGUCCAAGCCUAAUGCCGCUUAAUGUCGAUAUGUCCAACCAUGUCACUCAUGCGUUCUAAGUCCAAGAGUGUAAUCUAUAUGCCAUAUGUACCAUAUGCAACAUGAUCUCAAUCAAUUGUAAGAAUGCUAACCGUAGGCCCCUAGCCCAACAUGAAAACUCUCUACUAUAUAGAGGUUCGAAAAUACAUUAUACAUAACGUGCGUAUUUUAAGCAUUCUAAAAUUCACAAUUGAUCUAUCUAGCAUGAAUAUGCAUGCAUUUUCAUUUUACGACAAAUAAAACCAUCAUAAGAGAAUUUUGUUUCAUUUGGUGAGGCCAAACCCACCAAAAUCGAAACCUUCGUUUCGCCGAACGGAGGUGCCCACAAGACUCCUAGUACCCUAGAAGCAUCAAAACGAGGGUUACUCAAACGAAACGAACAACCCAAAACUCAAACAUUAACCAUCAAGGCAAAAAGGGCUAAAAUCUCACCUAAGUGUAGAAAAUCCCUUUUAAGCUCCAAAUGGAAGCUAGAUCCCUUCCAAUGCAACCUAGAUAAAGGUUCUAAUCCAAUCAAUUGGGCUUCAAAAGCCUCUAAUCAAAAAUCCCCAAAACAAACCCUAAAUACCCAUUUCUAGGGUUUGUACACAAAAAUCAUGAUCAAAAGGAAAUUAGUAAGUAACUAACCUCAAGAGAAGCUCCAAACCACCCUAGAAAUCAGCUAGGGUUGAGCUCCUACCCUUCUACAAGCUCCAAACACCAAGCCCAAACUUCUCCCUUGGGGGAAAAGCCACCAAAAUGCAAAAAGAGAGCAAAAGGAGAGUUUAAUCCUCAACAACCCAACAUAAAUCAAAGGGAAACAAAGAGGGAGAAAAGAGAGCUCCCUUACCUUGCUCUCCCUGCCUCCAAGCUCAGGGAACACCAAAGGGGGCGUGGGGUAUGUUAAUUAUUAUUUGGCUACAGAUAGGCAAAAAAACACCCCUGCAGCAAAACUGCAGAAAUUCUGCCUCCUUGUACGGUACACAGGGCUCUUGUACGGUACAAGGCGACGAAAUCGCAAACCCGAGGCUCGGGUCGCGCGUCUGCGGCUCUGUACCGGUACAAGCCCGAUGGCUGUUACGGUAACACCAUCAACCUUGUACGGUACAGGCAAGUCUUGUUCCGCGUACAACCCUGCUGCAGGCUACCGCGAGAGCUGUCCAAAAAUUCCGAUUUUGGAAUUUUUGGUGCCAAGUCCCACUCCAACAUCCUCGGGAUGCGUGCCAGGGGUCGGGACACUAUCAGAACCACAGAAAAAAAUCUGGAAAAGCUCAGGACACAGUCCAAACACUCGAACCUCGCAAUUUUGCAAAGGUCCAGUGUGUUACAUUAUAGUUUAGAAAUGAUUUCGAAUGGAACCUAUUGAGGUCCGAGCUCGAAAUCGAAGCUCGUACGCGGAUUUCUCUAUUGUUGAGACCUAGGGCUCAGAAUUGGGAUUUUGCCAAAUCUAGGGUAUUUGAUCUAAUUUGAUGGGUCGCAAACCUAUGCUUAGGUCUCUGAACGCGUCGGCGAGACAGUUCGUCGAUCCGUCGAGUAGGUGCGAGUUAUCGCCUAAGGAGACCUCGGAGCGUCGUUCUCGCCUGGAAGGCCAACGAAGCGUCGAAACGUCGCGAAUCGCAUUCGAGAAGUCACGCCCAUCGCACGAGGUGGUGGGGAGUGCCAUCGCCGAAGCAGUUCGAACUGUUUCUAUGUCUGAGUACUAUGGUCGAUCAAUUUACAUAUUGUGAUAUAGCAUUAUGGUGUUAAAUGUUAAUUGUACUAUCUUUGCAUGCUAGUGAUAGUUUGAUGUUGGGGAUACAAUGAAUGAGAACCUAGUAUGCAUGAGUGGAAUACUAUGGGAUAGUUCGCCCCAUAUAUGAUGAAUAUGUCAUGUGAAUAACAAACCUAGUGUAUCAAGAACUUGUCAAGAGAACGAGUGGCAUCUAGUUAACAGUGAACCCAGGACGAGUGGCACCUAGUUAAUAUUGAACUUGAGAACUUUAGUGGGAUUGAGACACUAUGAGAUUGAGCAGAAGAACACCUGAUGUUAUAGUGACACCAAUUCUAGUUGGUUAGGGUGUUCCCAGUUUACGAGAUUGGAUCGAGCUCACUUAGCCUGUCUGCACCUGUGGAGGUAGCUCCUCACAGGUAGUGCACUCCGGAGUUUGGCACGCGAGGGGGCCAGUGUAGUGCCCUUGGACCAGUGUAGUGUCCGCAGGCGGUCUCGGGAUAGGUGAAUAGCUAGCCACCUCCCCUAUGAGACUUAGAGACGUGAGACUGUGAGCGAACCUUGCGUUCGCCGAGAGAUUGGGUAAUUUGAUGAAUGAUUUCAUUAUUGAGCAUGGUAUUAUGAUAGCCAGCCUUGUUACUAUGAGUCCCAUGCAUGCAUCAUACUGGAUUGAGGCAUUGAUAGAUCAUAGUUCAUAGUUGCUCCUUACUAUUAAUGCUUUCAGUAUUACAUCUCUAUCUAUCUGCAUAUCUAUCUGUGCCUGUUUAGACCUAGUGGGGAGAUCGGCGGAGUCGGCGACCGAACCCACUGGGAACUAUUCGUAGUUCUCACUCCACCAUGUUGCAGGUCCGAGUUCGAGCGCCCCUGGUGAGGAUCGUGGCAAGGGCGUAGCACCCUAGUGAUAUUAGUAGAGGUUUACUUUCCUUUAUGCAUUAGCUACACCCUAUACCUAUUUUGAGAGUAGAUGAUGUAUAGGGUGAGGAUUUUAGAGUGAUUGUACAUAUACUCUGGAAGAAUGUAAAAGAUGAAAUAAUUGUAUAAAGUUUAAUGAGUUAAUAGUUAAGUAUAUCUCUCUUUAUCACUUGUAUGCUUUACAUGUGUUGCUUGUUCUUGAUUGAUAGGCACUGUUUGUGCUCUCGUGG